UACGGAGGAGGCAAGCGUUAUCCGGAAUGAUUGGGCGUAAAGCGUCCGCAGGUGGCAGUUCAAGUCUGCUGUCAAAGACCGGGGCUUAACUUCGGAAAGGCAGUGGAAACUGAACAGCUAGAGUAUGGUAGGGGCAGAGGGAAUUCCUGGUGUAGCGGUGAAAUGCGUAGAGAUCAGGAAGAACAUCGGUGGCGAAAGCGCUCUACUGGACCGCAACUGACACUCAGGGACGAAAGCUAGGGGAGCGAAUGGG
rnacentral:rRNA from 1 species